UGGGGAAUAUUGCACAAUGGGCGCAAGCCUGAUGCAGCCAUGCCGCGUGUGUGAAGAAGGCCUUCGGGUUGUAAAGCACUUUCAGCGAGGAGGAAGGUGGUGAACUUAAUACGUUCAUCAAUUGACGUUACUCGCAGAAGAAGCACCGGCUAACUCCGUGCCAGCAGCCGCGGUAAUACGGAGGGUGCAAGCGUUAAUCGGAAUUACUGGGCGUAAAGCGCACGCAGGCGGUUUGUUAAGUCAGAUGUGAAAUCCCCGGGCUCAACCUGGGAACUGCAUUUGAAACUGGCAAGCUAGAGUCUCGUAGAGGGGGGUAGAAUUCCAGGUGGUAGCGGUGAAAUGCGUAGAGAUCUGGAGGAAUACCGGUGGCGAAGGCGGCCCCCUGGACGAAGACUGA
rnacentral:rRNA from 1 species